rnacentral:rRNA from 1 species
AUUGAACGCUGGCGGCAGGCCUAACACAUGCAAGUCGAGCGAGCGGCGGACGGGUGAGUAAUGUAUGGGGGCUGCCCGAUCGCGGGGGAUAACUACUGGAAAAGCGGGCUAAUACCCCAUACUGUAUGAGAAUCCAUAUGGGAUUAGCUAGUAGGUAAGGGAAAGGCUUACAUAGGCGACGAUCCCUAGCUGGUCUGAGAGGAUGACCAGCCACACUGGAAAUGAGACACGGCACAGACUCCGACGGAGGCAGCAGUGGGGAAUAUUGCACAAUGGGGGCAAGCCUGAUGCAGCCAGGCCGCGUGUAUGAAGAAGGCCCUAGGGUUGUAAAGUACUUUCAGUGGGGAGGCGUUACCGACAGAAGAAGCACCGGCUAACGCCGUGCCAGCAGCCGCGGUAAUUC